ensembl:lncRNA
GUACAAAAGUCAUUAAUUUUUUUUUUUUUUUUUUAAUACCUAAGUGUUAAGCUUUGAUUUGUGGUUAAAAGAAAAUCCAAAAGGAACUUGCCUGAGAUACUGUUAUUUUUUAUUAUUUUAGCUGUGUGUGUUUUUGCCAUCGCUACUAGUAACAUAAUAAUAAUAAUAAUAAUAAUAAUAAUAAUAAUAAUAAUGGCGAUGAUGGCCAUGCAUGUGUGCAGGUUUCGUUUGACCUUGCCGUGUCUUUUUUAUUUUUUGUCGCACAGAAGAAAAUCUUUAUCAAAACCCCAUUCUAUGGCUUCAACAAACAGAACCCAUUACCUCACGGCAGCUUUUGUUGGCCCUAUACAAGAGAGAACAAAAUGGUUAUUCAGGGGAACGCUUUAGAUUUUUUAUUGUGGGUAGUAUUCACAAAGAGCAGUGUUAUUGUAUUAAAAAGACCCAUCUGUAGCAGAAACAAUGGCUUCAAAUUAUCUUUGAAUACCCAGUGAAAAAAUAUAAAGCUCGUUCUUCUCAUUCUCUGUGGCAGGGGGGAUAAUGCCGGCUCCGUAUAACGGACUUUUUUGUUGUUCUUCAUGCCUUCUUGGGCCUUUUUAAAAGCGCACUCUUUCCCGAUAUGUGCCGCGUCGCGCACUGCGCUUCUCCUCUCCUCUCCUCUCCUCUCCUCUCUUGCCGGGGAAGCGGGGAAACGGCGGCGGCCGCGAGACGCGCGCGCUCUCGGUGCUUCCUCGCGCCACGGAGAGCCGGCUCGCCUCGCUCCGGUCCGUCGCGCGCACGGACUUGUUGUGUCUCGCGCGGGACGCGUGCGGUGGCAGCGCGGUCCGGAUGAGCGGUGGACAUGGACACAUUGGAGGAUGCGGGAGGAUCCCAGUGCAGCUCAAACCUUUGGAGCCCUGGUAGGGAAGAGACAGGAUGCCAAAAAGGCCAAGAUUUCCUUCCAGGGUGAGGAUGAAGGUGAGGUGACCAGGAGACUGCAGAAGUGUGCGCUCCCUCGCGCACAGGAAGGGUGCUCACAUUUUUAACACAUAUUUCAACAGCAACAGGUGGUAAUGGAGAAACAAUGGAAGCAGCCUAAUAUUUCUCGACUUGCUGACAGGCCGCUGAGCGUAGCUGUAGAUACCACAUGGCAAGGAGUCAACAAUGGUCUGAAACAGAUCUGCACGUAUUCCACAGUGGACUUUUAAACUUUCUUCCAAGUUUGUGGGAGACGGACACCAAACCAUCCCACGAUCGAGGUGCGGUCUCUCGGAUGGCCGUGGAAGAUGAGUAACUUCGCUGCUCAGUUCGGUGCUUUCUGAGUCGGAGCACCGCCUUCCUGGAAAACACAAGAAGUGCUGCCUUAUGGGGAGCGGGGUGACGGCUCAACCACUUGUUGAAUUCACUGCGUCCAGUCACCGAACGAGCGGACUUGGGAAAUCACCGCAGAGCCGUGUGAAGAUCUGACGGCUGGGUCCGGGCACUCUGGAGAGCUAGACCCUUAGUUUGCCGUCGCACGUUGUGCUUGUCCUCCAUCUUCCAGAAAAGUGGUGAAGUGCAGUUCUUUGGAGAGCGCAACCUUAGAAUACCACCCCGUUGCCAGUACUCUUACGAUAAUGGAUCAGCGGGCAGCCAUUGCCAGGUGUUUGAUACAGUUUGUCCAAGUCAUCCAGUAUAUGGCAUAUAAAUGUCCUGUUUAUAUUACAUUUCCUCUACGCUUCUGUUUGUUGGUUGCAAACACGUUCGCAUACAUGGAGCACGGGCAGGAAGUGUAAAGAUGACUAUUUUACAGGUACGAUGACAUGCGGUUUUCUUUUUUUGCAUCGUUAUUUGUAGAUUGAGGAUGCUCGUGGCUCACACUGAACCUUUCGGUCAGCUCCUUUUGCCUUUGCCCCACUCUCUUCCGAAUGCGUCACUUAUGGGGUUUUGGAAUGUUCACAUCUGCCCCCCUGUUGCUCCUCAGCGAUGCUCUCUUCUUUUCUUCUCCGUAGACAUCACAUUCUAGGCGUUAGAAGCUUACGUCGACCUCUCUGCACCCUGUUCAAAGUCGCGGAUACCCUGCCCCCACCC